rnacentral:misc_RNA from 1 species
UCGCUCCUUGCGGAGGCAGUCUCCCUAGAGUCCCCACCUUGACGUGCUGGCAACUAGGGAUAAGGGUUGCGCUCGUUGCGGGACUUAACCCAACAUCUCACGACACGAGCUUUCUCUAGCAUGUCAAGCCUAGGUAAGGUUCUUCGCGUUGCAUCGAAUUAAGCAACAUGCUCCGCCGCUUGUGCGGGCCCCCGUCAAUUCCUUUGAGUUUUAACCUUGCGGUCGUAAUCCCCAGGCGGGGUGCUUAAUGCGUUAGCUACGGCACGGAGGGAGUGGAUAACCCCCCACACCUAGCACCCAUCGUUUACGGCGUGGACUAC